GAGAGAGCCUUCACAAAUAGAAAAGGCUGGAUUUAAAUUUUUUCCAUUUCCAGGGAGUUCCUGUCAUGGCUCAGCGAUAAUGAAUCCAACUAGGGUCCAUGAAGAGGCAGAUGCCAUGCCUGGCCUCGCUCAGUGGUUUAAGCAUCUGGUGUUGCCGUGAGCUGUGGGGUAGGUCACAGACAUGGCUCGGAUCCUGCGUUGCUGUGGCUGUGGUGUAGGCUGGCAGCUGCGGCUCCAAUUCGAUCCCUAGCCUGGGAACUUUCAUAUGCCGUCGGUGUGGCCCUAAAAAGCAAAAAAAUAAAAAAUGUUCCCCAUUUCUAACAGAGUUUUAAAUAUUUUUUUCCCAAAUGUAAAAAUACACUGUUGGGAGUUCCCUGGUGGCUCAGCAGGGAACUCCUCUCCCAGGGUAAUUUGCAUUCAAAAAAGAACAUGCCCACAGAAGAUAAUCCAGACCCCAAAAGAACAAAUCUCAGUCCAUUAAUUUCACAGGGAAGAGGGCCAUGAGACAGUGAAGGCAAAGCCUGGGUGGUGCAUGCGCAGGACCAGGAACACCAAAGUUUGCCAGCCAACCGCCAGAAGCCGGGAGAGAAGCCUGGAACAGACGCUCCCUCACAGUCCUCAAAAGGAACCUACCCCGCCGACAUCUUAUUCCUGGAUUUCUUGAGAACAGUGAAAUGGUAAAUGUCUUUUUUUCUUUUUAUGGCUGCACCUGUAUCAUAUGGAAGUUCCCAGGCUAGGGAUCGGAUUGGAGCUGCAGCCACUGGCCUACACCACAGCCACGGCAACUCAGGAUCUGAGCCGUGCACCUACACUGCAGCUCGCAGCAACACUGGCUCCUUAACUCACUGAGCGAGGCCAGGGAUGGAAUCCGAAUCCUCUCGGAUAGUGGUCGGGUUCUUAACCUGCUGAGCCACAACGGGAACUCCCGACAUGCCACCCAGAGGUACCUUGUUACCAUGACAAAUGCCUCAGCAGGCCUGCAGGUGGGGGUGUGUGGGAGGCAGAAACCAGAGGCCCAGAAGAGACCUUGGUUCCCAGAUGCCCCAAGGACACCCAUGAGAACAAAGAGGCCACUCAAGAGAUAGGGCUAGGUUAACCCCAUCACACCCAGAGCUGAAUCACCAGAAACAGAAACUCUCCCUCCCUGCAGGGAGCCAAGAAUCCUGUGGGACCAGGCUGU
rnacentral:lncRNA from 1 species